GAUGAAGAACGUAGCGAAAUGCGAUAAUUAAUGUGAAUUGCAGAAUUCCGUGAAUCAUCGAGUCUUUGAACGCACAUUGCGCCCCCUGGUAUUCCGGGGGGCAUGCCUGUCCGAGCGUCAUUGCUGCCCUCAAGCACGGCUUGUGUGUUGGGCCUCCGUCCUCCUCCCGGGGGACGGGCCCGAAAGGCAGCGGCGGCACCGCGUCCGGUCCUCGAGCGUAUGGGGCUUCGUCACCCGCUCUUGUAGGCCCGGCCGGCGCUUGCCGACACAUCAAUCUUUUUUCCAGGUUGACCUCGGAUCAGGUAGGGAUACCCGCUGAAAUUAAGCAUAUCAAUAAGCGGAGGA
rnacentral:misc_RNA from 1 species